rnacentral:rRNA from 2 species
CGGUCCAGACUCCUACGGGAGGCAGCAGUAGGGAAUCUUCCGCAAUGGGCGAAAGCCUGACGGAGCAACGCCGCGUGAGUGAUGAAGGUCUUCGGAUCGUAAAACUCUGUUAUUAGGGAAGAACAUAUGUGUAAGUAACUGUGCACAUCUUGACGGUACCUAAUCAGAAAGCCACGGCUAACUACGUGCCAGCAGCCGCGGUAA